AGUGAACGCUGGCGGUAGGCCUAACACAUGCAAGUCGAACGGCAGCACAGUAAGAGCUUGCUCUUACGGGUGGCGAGUGGCGGACGGGUGAGGAAUACAUCGGAAUCUACUUUUUCGUGGGGGAUAACGUAGGGAAACUUACGCUAAUACCGCAUACGACCUACGGGUGAAAGCAGGGGAUCUUCGGACCUUGCGCGAUUGAAUGAGCCGAUGUCGGAUUAGCUGGUUGGCGGGGUAAAGGCCCACCAAGGCGACGAUCCGUAGCUGGUCUGAGAGGAUGAACAGCCACACUGGAAGUGAGACACGGUCCAGGCUCCUACGGGAGGCAGCAGUGGGGAAUAUUGGACAAUGGGCGGAAGCCUGAUCCAGCCAUACCGCGUGGGUGCAGAAGGCCUUCGGGUUGUAAAGCCCUUUUGUUGGGAAAGAAAAGCAGCAGGUUAAUACCCCGCUGUUCUGACGGUACCCAAAGAAUAAGCACCGGCUAACUUCGUG
rnacentral:rRNA from 1 species